UGGACCUAAUAGAAGUUUAAAGGUACCGUACUGGCGAUCUUAAGAUUUUCCUAAACUCUGAUCAGUUUGAUGUAAAUGAAGCUAUAAUGGAUGUAGAGGAUGCUUGAAACUUUUUCAAGUUUAUGGUUUAUUUUAGCAGUCUAGAUCCUCUUUAAUAAAAAAUUUCGUUGGUUUCUCUUUGGAAUCUGAUGUUGAUGGUCAUGUCUUUGGCAUCUAGCCAUCUACUGUUUGACAUUGAUUGACAGAAUGGCUCGUCAUCAAUGGGACAUGAACCAUUUGAAAGAACCCUUUUGAUGAUUUUAAAAUAUUUUUCAAUAAAUCCAUUAAUUUUAACAGGUCAAGCUUAGGUGUGGACUGA
rnacentral:misc_RNA from 1 species